rnacentral:rRNA from 1 species
GGUUAAGCGACUAAGCGUACACGGUGGAUGCCCUGGCAGUCAGAGGCGAUGAAGGACGUGCUAAUCUGCGAAAAGCGCCGGCGAGGUGAUAUGAACCUUUGACCCGGCGAUGUCCGAAUGGGGAAACCCAGUGCAAUUCGUUGCACUAUCGUUAACUGAAUACAUAGGUUAACGAGGCGAACCGGGGGAACUGAAACAUCUAAGUACCCCGAGGAAAAGAAAUCAACCGAGAUUCCCCCAGUAGCGGCGAGCGAACGGGGAGCAGCCCAGAGUCUGAAUCAGCUUGUGUGUUAGUGGAAGCGUCUGGAAAGUCGCACGGUACAGGGUGACAGUCCCGUACACGAAAGCACACAGGCUGUGAACUCGAAGAGUAGGGCGGGACACGUGGUAUCCUGUCUGAAUAUGGGGGGACCAUCCUCCAAGGCUAAAUACU